UUUCCGUAGGUGAACCUGCGGAAGGAUCAUUAAUGAGUUGUCAUGGGGUUCGAUGCUGGCAGCCAGUUUUUGGAUGCAUGUGCUAGCCCUAACAAUCAUCUUCUUCCAAACACCUGUGCACAUUUUUGAGGGAGUCUUGAGUUGGUUGCCGCUCUUGGGUGAUUUUCUCACAUUCCCUUAAAUCAUUAUACGCUAUUAACAAUGUUGAACGUGCUCUGUGCCGCAAGGCCAUUAAUAUAAUACAACUUUUAACAACGGAUCUCUUGGCUCUC
rnacentral:misc_RNA from 1 species